UUUAUCUGGGCUUUUUGCUUUGCACUUUUUUAUUAUUGAUAAAGAGUCUCCUUCGAUAAUAACUCUUUCCCACUGUUUGUGAACGCCGAUUUGGAGAGCUUUCCGGCACGCCAUUGCUUCCGCUCCAAAAGCUGAGGAGACCCUUUGAUGAACCUCCGAACAAGAUAAGAGAACUAAACCCUCUUUGUCUCUGGCUACAACUCCGAUAGCCGCUUUAUUCUGUCCUUUUUCAUAUGCUGCAUCAAAAUUGAUUUUGACAAAGUUAUCCUCUGGUUUUUUCCAUUUUGUAACAGUAAAUGGAGUUUGUCUACUAUUUUGACCAACCGAUUCUAACUCUGAAAUGUAUCUGUUAACAAAUCUUCCUAUGUCUUUUCCAGAUUUACUCCCUUUAUUAUGCAGUCUGUUAUUCCUAUCACCCCAGAUGGCCCAUACAGCAACACAGAAGGGCAUUCACGAAAAAGGUGGUCCAUAGAUUUAGAUCCAGAUCCACACCGAGGACACACUGAAAAGUUUGUUAGUCUUCUAAGAAGCAUAUUAACCCGAGUUGCUAGGAAAUUCCAAGAGAUCUUCCAAACUGUAAUUUUUAUUUUUGAAGGAAGAUCAAGAAGCCAUAGCUUCCUGUAGAAGUCCUUAUAGUCAUCUUGUAAAGCAUAAGCUCUAGGAUUAUUUUCAGUGUUUUACAAUAGUUUAUAGGCGCUCCUGACUGUGAACUCACCCGACGCUUCAGCACUCUAGACUUGGAAAUCAUCGUGUGGUUUUUCUGCCAGCUGAAUACUAAGAAUCUUCUCAGCAACAUCCUCCGGAAAGGUGAUAUCUGAGUGCAAUUACUCAACCCAUGCCCCAUUCUUCCACAACCAAAACAGAACAUUGGCAGGUUUUCAUACUUAAAGUGGAUCCAUACUUUACUAACAUAAUCAGCAACGACAAAAAUACCUCUUCUAAGUGGUUUCUGGACAUCCAAAUUAAUUCUGAGUCGAUAGAAUUCUUCACUAAUUUCAGAUCUGAGAACCCCACCAAAAGUCCCACCAAUCGCAUGCAAUAGAUCUUUCUUGUCGAUCUCGGGGAAACACGUUUCAAUUUUUAUC